AACGCAAAUUGCGCUCUCGGGAUAGGCCUGGGAGCACGCCUCUUUGAGUAUCGUUUCAACCAACUCGAAAGCGCUGCUUUAUUGCAUCGCUGACGGAGAAUGAGCGCUCUUGCGUUUGCGAGACGCUUUAAAUUGAGCGAGUGACUUGAUAUCUGUCGAAAGAUAGACUUCUGUCUGCGGUGACGAGGAUAACUUCACAUUCAGUUGUGAACCCUUCCAUCGUGACUGCAAGGCAGAGCUGUCUGCGAUAGCUGUCGCCUUGUCACGGCCCAUCUGUGGUCAUCUGUUGCGGUGAACACAGAACUCCAUUUUGAACUAGAUCUCAAAUGAAGCGAGAAAACCCGCUGAACUUAA
rnacentral:misc_RNA from 1 species